rnacentral:lncRNA from 1 species
CCCGCCAGCCCCGCGCUCUACCAGGCAGAGCGCGUGUGGCCGCCGAGCACAUGGACCCACUGGUCAAGCGGGCUCGGCAAGGCCAGGAUGAAGAGAAGCUACGAACUUAGCAUUCCCAGAGCCCCCCGAGUGGAUAUCCGCGUGGAAAGGAUGUUGGCAGCCCCGGUGACCUCGGAGUCACGGCUGGAUCCACCCUCUUGUCUGAUUUUCUUAACUCUACUACGGUAAGAAGAUGCCCUCCAUCAGCAGGCCGUGUCUGCUGGGACCUCUCUGGAGACUUCCUGAACCCUGUGGAUUUACAGUAAGAUGCAGUUUCCUGGGGAGUAAUUCUGGUGGAUACAAAUUCCGGAGUAUUACACCUGGCUUGCCUGGAGAUGUUACAAGUAGCUGGAUGGAUUCUUCAGCCUGGAUGCCCACUGAAAACAAGGACCGAAACUAAGAGGAUUGUAUCUCUACCCUUGACUCAAUGAGAAUGUUUGUUGUCAUCUCUCGGGCUACCUGGAGCUCCCUCUAAAAUUAUACCCUUUAAGCGUUCCAGAAGGAUUUUGAGAUCCUUUCCUAAAUCAAAGGUGGAAUAUUUGGGGAUUUGGAAAAUUGAGAAGCCAGUCUCUCAGAAGAACCAGUUGUGUUACUUUGCUGUGAGAUGCCUGCCCUAAGAGAGGAGCAGAAGGUCGGAACGGGUCCUCUAAUGUGAUAAUUAGAUGUGAAGCGUUGACUUAAGAGAUGCCAAGUAACUCAGCAGAUGUCACACAGACGAUAAAUAGCAAAGAUGGAAGUCUUCAUGCCGGAGGCAAUCCUAUAAGACAGCUGAGUUCUGCAGAGCUGGUAGGAGACAGACUUGCUCAGGUGAUAGAUCCAGCCAUGAUACUGACCCUAAGAGAAUGAGACGCUCUGCAGAAGACAGAAGAUUCCUGAAACUGGGAAAGGUGCCUAGAAAUCCUGAUAAGAGUGAAGAAGGAGCUGGCAGAGCAGCCUUCCUCCGCACUAUGAAAGACAUCCAACAGAGAGCAAGUUCCCACCUCACUUCCAGCUUGACUCCUUUUUAUCUCCUAACUGUGGUCUGUGAUGUCUUCAGCAAUGGUAUUAACUAGUUCUGGGUACCUGGAGGCACAGCAGCCAUGUUGAACCUAUGAGGUGAUGAAAAACCAUGCAACUAGAAACCAGAAUGGAAGAAAAGAAGAAGCUGGAUCCUUGACUGAAUUGUCGAUGGGGGAUAGUCCAUCAUCCCAGGGCUAAGACCACCUCCAGAUUUCUUGUUUGGUGAAACAAGUCCUGAUUGUUUACAUUCCCUCGUGUUGAGCUGUCUCUUGCUUGUAGCUGAAAGCAUUUCUAAUAGAUAUUCAGAUUAUCAGCCUUAGCUCCAAGCUAGAAUACUCUAUGGGACCUUAGCUUCUCCAUGAAUUCCUUUGCUCAUCUGUGUAAUGCUCAAUAAAUGUAAAUUGAACCCUGAAUGAGGGACAAUGACA